UUUUCUUUUUUACUUGAGAAAAAAUAAAACUUCAAAUCUCAUACAUUUUUAAAAAACGAAGAAAGUUCAUAAAAUAGAGAUUCAACACCACUUGACCCCUCUCCCCUACUUUUGUAUCUUAAAGUAUUCGGGAUCUCAUUGGAGUCGAUUUACCUACUAAAAGACGAUCUAAACCAAACAAAAAAAGGAAAAAAAAAAAGAAAGAACGAAAGAAAACUUGAGAUUACCCUUGCAAAUUCUUAAUUGUUUUUUUUAUAUUUCUGUGCGUGUAUAUUCUGUGUGCGUCUGUGUUCGUGUUCCCCUUUUCUUUUAUUUACUCUCGAAAUAAAAAAAGAAAAUAAUCACAAAGAGAAAGCCCAGAGAUUUCGAUCGGAGAAAUCACCUUCCAAUAUUGCUUUUUUUGUAUUGCCUAUUGUGUAUUCGUUCGUAAA
rnacentral:lncRNA from 1 species